rnacentral:lncRNA from 12 species
GUUGGUAGAACGGUUGAGCAGGAUAGACUAAAGAGGAAAACAUUUCCCCCUUUUGUUUUGAGUUCCCAUGGAAACAGAGUUUCCAUAUUCUUAAAGGGAUGUAAGUGCCCAUCUCAGGGAACAAAAGUGGGCUACGCUGUACCCUGCUGUCGAAACUCUCUGGAUGAGUGUGACCCCUGCAUCCUUCACCAGGAACAAGCACCUGGCAACAAAAGUGGACAUUCCACAUCGGCUGCUGCACUGAUCUCAAUGAAAUCCUGCAGCGGGCCGAAGCUGCCUCCAGAUCAACCUUCCUCAUUCUACUGGACUUGUCUGAUGCAUUUCAAGCUAAUGACAUAGAGCUUAUGCAACAUGACAAAACCUGUUCUCAAAGACCAGCUCACAGUCUCUGUACCAAUCUCCUUUCAGACAAAUUGGCCAGGAUGAAAGAACAACACCCGUAACACAACCUAGCAAAGACAGGCCCCCUUGUCAACCCUUCCACCCAUAAAACAUGACAACAUCUCCAUACAGAUAGGCUUAAUUGGUUUUCUUAGACCUUCUUGCAGCUUCAAAACAUUUCAGUGCAGACUUGUUAUCUGCACUGAAAUAGGUAUAGGUUUUUUCAGAUGAACUGCUGUUAGUGUAUAUUCAUUAAAUAAAUAUACGUUCUAAACAUUUCAUGUAUUUCAAACAGAACUCCACACAAGUAACAUAACUAUAACUAACUAAUAACUUAGUAAAUCAUCAAUUGAAGAUCUCUGAGAUGCUGCUGUAACAAACAUGGCAGCUGACAACUACUUGAUUAUUUUUGGUUCUUUGUCAUUUUGCAUUAUUUGAUGUUUGCUUCAUCCUGGGUUCCUUUUUAAGUCAUACUCCAGCAUUCCCUUACGCAUUCAUGAACAUGUGCACUCUUCUAAAAUGGUGCUUAUUGAGCAAACACUAAAAUAUAGUAAAAGUGAAAGUGACGUGACGUGACCGAGUAUGGUGUCCCAUACUCAGAAUUUGUGCUCUGCAUUUAACCCAUCCAAGUGCACAGUGCACACACAAAGUAGUGAAAAAACACACACUGUGAACAUUUUGCUGCAGCACCUGGGGAGCAAUUAGGGGUUUGCGAUUAUGUUGCGACUACCCUAUAGACUGAAAUAGAUAUAUUUAAAUGGAAUGUUAGAUGUUAGGCAUUGUACUGCUUGUUAUCUUCCUUAUUGUGCCCAAGAGCUUAAUUUAAGUCUACGUGUCUUACUAACAACAGACUGUGCUUCCAACCAGAGGUUGAGAACUGUAGUUCCAACCACGUACGUUUGGGAUGCUGUUUAGAAAUGUUUUGAACUAUGGUUUUUGGGAAACGCGGAAUAGUUGAACUAUUUCGGUAACAGAGGAACUUGAGACAUAGUUGGCUAAUGAUGCUUUUUGGAAACACGCUUCAUGGUCUGGCUUUGUUCCACUAUAACAACAUCCCAUUUUGGUGACCACCAAACUAGUAUCUUGCACCCAAACCACAACAUAUCUCAGUGUUCUCAGCAGAUGCAAAGCUGCAAAAUCAGUUUGUGUGCAUUCAGGUGAAGAGUGACAGAAUAAUGGCAGGGGGAGGAUUUAGGCACAACACCUGCAGCUUUUUCAUGCUCCUGGCCAGACAUUUUGGGAACAUGGGAUGACCAGCUGUAUUUCUGGAAGUAUAUUCAAGUAAUAAGUAACAAGUCAAAAUGGAAAUACAAUAGAAUCUGCUCACACAUGACAAAACAACCCAUAAUGUUGUAAUAUUGCCACACUAAACCAAUUUUUAACAAAUAAAUGUCAUUGUUGAAAAAAAAAAUGCAUUAUUUAAAGGUGAAUUUUUGAACUGAAUUGUGAAUUGCUUUUUUUCCAUAGGCUAUGACCAUCAGUGCAUGUGAGCAUAUCAGCUUAAUUAUAUAAGUGCUGUUUUCUAUUUGUAAAACUUUUUAAUCAGCAAAAGUUACUGAGUGCACCUUUAAAGGGAUAGUUCACCUUCAGUUGCUGGUCCCAACUGACUUGCAUAGUGUUUUUUCUUUUCUUUUCUUUUUCCA